UUUCCUUCUAAGUUAGCAGCAUAGGACCCUUAUGUAACAUUCAAAAUAUUAAAUAGGAAGGAAAUCGCAAAAAAAGAAAUGAAAUCACAAUUUGGAAAUGAAAUCAUCGUAAAAAGGAAAAAUGACGGUAGAAAUAUCUCAAAUAAGUCUCGUGGGCCAAUCUCCUUAGUGCCACAGGAAGUCAGCCGUCCUAACUAUUUCUCGUUGUCGACCUCCUUCUCGUUAUUGUCG
rnacentral:lncRNA from 1 species